AUGGUUUGUUUUUAAUAUGGUUUAGGAUAUGUGGGUUAUUGAGCUUUUGGGUUUUGUUUAUUUGCAAAAUCUAGUUGGGUUAAUUUAUUUAUUGUGUUUGUUGCAUUGGAUUCUCUCCUUGUGAGUUGUGAUGUGUAUCGAAGUGCCAGAUAGCAUUUAAAAAAAUAUGACAUUAUUUGGUGGCUUGGUUGGGCAUAAGGGACAAUUUUGUUUAAGAACUCUUUGCUACUUUGGGAAUUUGGACCCCUCCUAAACAAAUUGAGCCAUUAAUUAAAUAGAAAAUGGCAAGUGAGGUUACCCAAGAACAGAAAAUUCUCUUCUGCUCUAAAUAGAAAUAAGGACUGAUUAAUUCAAAU
rnacentral:misc_RNA from 1 species